rnacentral:tRNA from 1 species
GCUGGCGUAGCUCAAUUGGUAGAGCAUCUGACUUGUAAUCAGAGGGUUGCAGGUUCAAGUCCUGUCGCCAGCU